rnacentral:rRNA from 1 species
UACGUAGGGUCCUAGCGUUGUCCGGAAUUAUUGGGCGUAAAGAGCUCGUAGGCGGUUUGUCGCGUCUGCUGUGAAAACCCGAGGCUCAACCUCGGGCCGCAGUGGGUACGGGCAGACUAGAGUUGCGGUAGGGGAGAUUGGAAAUUCCUGGUGUAGCGGUGGAAUGCGCAGAUAUCAGGAGGAACACCAAUGGCGAAGGCAGAUCUCUGGGCCGUAACUGACGCUGAGGAGCGAAAGCAUGGGGAGCGAACAGG